rnacentral:rRNA from 1 species
GAUGAACGCUAGCGACAGGCUUAACACAUGCAAGUCGAGGGGCAGCAUAAAAGUAGCAAUACUUUGGUGGCGACCGGCGCACGGGUGAGUAACGCGUAUGCAACCUACCUAUCAGAGGGGAAUAACCCCGGCGAAAGUCGGACUAAUACCGCAUAAAACAGGGGCACCGCAUGGUGAUAUUUGUUAAAGAAAUUCGCUGAUAGAUGGGCAUGCGUUCCAUUAGGUAGUUGGUGAGGUAACGGCUCACCAAGCCGACGAUGGAUAGGGGAACUGAGAGGUUGGUCCCCCACACUGGUACUGAGACACGGACCAGACUCCUACGGGAGGCAGCAGUGAGGAAUAUUGGUCAAUGGGCGAGAGCCUGAACCAGCCAAGUCGCGUGAAGGAAGAAGGAUCUAUGGUUCGUAAACUUCUUUUGCAGGGGAAUAAAGUGCGGGACGUGUCCUGUUUUGUAUGUACCCUGAGAAUAAGGAUCGGCUAACUCCGUGCCAGACCAGCCGACGGU